rnacentral:rRNA from 1 species
UACGUAGGCAGCGAGCGUUGUUCGGAUUUACUGGGCGUAAAGGGCGCGUAGGCGGCCUCUGCAAGUCGACUGUGAAAUCUCCGGGCUUAACCCGGAACGGUCAGCCGAUACUGCAGGGCUAGAGUGCAGAAGGGGCAACUGGAAUUCUCGGUGUAGCGGUGAAAUGCGUAGAUAUCGAGAGGAACACCUGCGGCGAAGGCGGGUUGCUGGGCUGACACUGACGCUGAAGUGCGAAAGCUAGGGGAGCGAACGGG